AUAAAGAAAAUAGAUUCCAUGGAAUCAAUGAAUUGAUUUGCUUUAUACUAAAGAAAGAUAUUGACUGAUUGAAACUUAACUGUUAAAUUAGGGUUUUUUUGUUACGUAAAAUGAACUGUGUGAGGAAUCUAAACACAUUUUUUUUUGGUCUUUCUUUGUCGUUGAUAGAAGAACAUUUCAGUCCUGAUAUUUGCUGUAACUAAUAAUUACUGGAUAAACAGAGAAGGCACAUGGAGGAUCUUUUACCUGGGUCCAACAAAAGAAAGAAAUAAAAGCCAAAGUGAUAACUUAAAAAUGAAGCUGCCACCCACAGGGGAUGAGGACUUGGAUGGAGCCCAGCAUCAACAAG
rnacentral:lncRNA from 1 species